CUUUUUACCAGUCACCUGAGUAGGUGAUUUUAUUAAUGAUCAGGUUUUUAUGUUCAGGGGAGAAGUUCAUCAGCAAGCACAGUUGCUGGGGUGAUUGGUUGAGAGGAAAAUCUGCACUGUCUUGGCCCUCGUUGCCCACCCC